rnacentral:tRNA from 1 species
GGGGUUGUGGUUCUGUGGUAGAGUGCUAGCCUUGCAUGUUUGAGAUCCUGGGUUCGAUCCUCAGCACCA